GGCUCUUCUUCGAGUCUUCUCAGAGGUUGGAGAUUCCCUGUCUUCUCCAACCUCUGCCAAGUCUUCAGAGAGGUUGGAGUGCGCCUGUCGGAGGUACUAGACCCCAGAUGAGGAUCUCAGGAAGAUCCACAAAGCUGCGUCCAGGGGAACGAACGUGUGGAAGCUGCAGCGGAGCCUCCUGCUCAAGAGUAAAGGACCGGUCUGAAACCUACAAGAACAGGACACAUAUUGCUUGUCUCUGAACUUCUCAGCUGCCUGCAGAUCUUCCUGUUUUUCAGCUGCAGUUAGGGUUUGUCUGAGGAGAAGCAUAACAUCCCUCCAGGCCAAAUGCUCCACAAAUAAAUGUGUUGAAUGAAUGAACAAAUGAAUAAGCGAAGUGAAUGGAACAUCAAACUGCAUAAAAAUAUAUUUAUUCAUAAAUGAGAGGUGAUGAUUGCCAACAUAUCAUAAUCAGACUCUGACCUUGGUUACUUAUGAGUUUGACAACGAAGAGGAAAGAGGAUCAGUUCCAAGUGUGAAAGCAAGGAUAAAUCAAGAUGCCUCUUGGCAUGAAACUUUACUGGACAACCUUGAAGUCAUGCCAGUACCCAGUCUGCUGAGACCAAUGCUCAAUAGACAUUUCAGCACAGGAAGCCUCUUAAAUCCCUUCAAAGGAAAAUGGGUGUCAUGAAAAUGUCAAGCCUGGCCUUCUCACUACUUACUCAAAAAGUACUUCCUAAGCGCCUACUUUGAGUCACAUCUGGGUCACAGGAAAGUGUGGUGGAAAGUCUGCACAUGGCCCAGAAAGCUCCUUCAGCUCCAACAUUCAGAACCUGCCUGCCUGCCUUCUGAGUAUCCCAAGGGCACUGUCUGACUCUUUCAUACCCACCAUUUGUCUCCCUGGACUUCUUGCUAAAUCCCUGUCUUCACUUCCUCACUUAGGGAAUUCAUGCCAGCUCUCUGACUUGAUCUAUGACCCUGCUCAUCACUGUAGGAGAAAAAAAAAAAAAUACAA
rnacentral:lncRNA from 1 species